UUUCAUAAGUGAGGCACGGCCUUAUUGGUUACGUGGUUAAUAUUAUAGAACAAGUCCUUUAAAAUGUAAACAAUAAGGUCUAUUUAUCUUAAUAACAAAAAAGUGUCUAUUUAGUAUUUAUCUUAUCCAACAUUCUACAACAAUAUUGUUACACUAACUAACGCCGUAGCCUCCGGCUCGUUCUUCUUCUUGAAUUUGAACCAAAUGGCCAGAAGGAACAUGAGGGUGGUCAAGAGGGCAGCAGUCAGUUCCAGGAGUUUUGAUAGUACUGUUGGUCCCAAAAGGCUUCCUCUAGUUUCAUU